GACGAACGCUGGCGGCGUGCUUAACACAUGCAAGUCGAACGGAAAGGCCCUGCUUUUGUGGGGUGCUCGAGUGGCGAACGGGUGAGUAACACGUGAGUAACCUGCCCUUGACUUUGGGAUAACUUCAGGAAACUGGGGCUAAUACCGGAUAGGAGCUCCUGCUGCAUGGUGGGGGUUGGAAAGUUUCUGCGGUUGGGGAUGGACUCGAGGCUUAUCAGCUUGUUGGUGGGGUAGUGGCUUACCAAGGCUUUGACGGGUAGCCGGCCUGAGAGGGUGACCGGCAACAUUGGGACUGAGAUACGGACCAGACUCCUACGGGAGGCAGCAGUGGGGAAUAUUGCACAAUGGGCGGAAGCCUAAUGCAGCAACGCCGCGUGCGGGAUGAGGGCCUUCGGGUUGUAAACCGCUUUCGCCUGUGACGAAGCGUGAGUGACGGUAAUGGGUAAAGAAGCACCGGCUAACUACGUG
rnacentral:rRNA from 1 species